GCUCGAACAUGGCCUGGGCCUUUUCCCAGACCAGGACACUAAGAUGCAGCCCAUAAUCGUAUUUAAACUGCAAGUCACUGUUGUCGGAAAAAAACCUCAUAUCUCCAAAUCUGACAACUUUACAAGAGAAGGAAAAAACAUACAUAACUUUUAAUGUCAGACCGGUUGGGUGAGGACAAGUCAUUCAAGGCCUGAAAGUCUGAUGUACAUCACUAACUGAACAUGAGCGUCAGCCUGAACAAUGGAAUGAAAGAAAUGGCAAAUGGCAGCAGCAACUGUUUACCAGCCUCUCAAUGUGAAACUGCUUCAAGAUUGAAGAUGUUGAGGUGGUGUGAUUGAUCUUUCUCAAGUCUGGAGAGAAAAGCGUGGACUUCUACUUGGUGUGAAGUUCUGGCUCUCACUACUCACAGUAGAUGCUCAAACCACCUUGUUCUUUAUGAAUAAAAGAUGGAACAGAUGGUAAGGGGGAGGAAUGUGAGUGGCUGAACACAGCAUUGACGGGUAAUUGAAACAAGGAAAAGUAAAGUCAGAAGUGUUUGUAUGUGGUUGGCACCUCCUGCACCUGCUGCACCGCACUGCUGGCACCUGCCUUCUCAAUGUGGAGGAGAGGAGUUACCAUCACACUUUCUCCAAAAUGCAAAUGACAAAUGGUUGUGUGCAAAGGUUUGGGCACCCUUGAUUAAUAUAGAUGAUUUGUUGGUGGAAUUUGGGGGAGAGGGACACACGAUUUAGCCUGUGCUAUGACACAGAUAUGACAGAUAUUGUUGUUUGUUUGUUUGUUUGUUUUUUUAAAUCCCAAAAUGUUAAACUCAAAUCAUUUCAUUUCCUGUAGAGGAUGUAUGCUCACUUCAAAAGUCAAUGAGCAACACCCAUUUUGCAAGAAUAGUGCCAAUGAUGGCCCUCAAAUCUUGUUAGUAAUAAUUAGGGCAGAUGCUUAUGUUACAUACAUACACAGAAGCUUCAGUGUAACUGUUUAAUGAAAAAGUUGGGAUGCUGUGCAGAAUGUAAAU